AUUUCCUUCAGCUAGAGGAGCUCAACGGAUCUGUUUUCUUUCGCUCAGCCAAAAUCACAGAAUGAAGGCGGUGAAGAGCGAACGGGAGCGAGGGAGCCGGCGAAGACACCGGGACGGGGACGUGGUGCUGCCGGCGGGGGUGGUGGUGAAGCAGGAGCGUCUCAGCCCAGAAAUCGCACCUCCCGCCCACCGCCGUCCGGACCACUCUGGCGGUAGCCCGUCUCCGCCGACCAGCGAGCCGGCCCGCCCGGGCCACCGCGGGAACCGAGCCCGAGGAGUUAGCCGGUCCCCACCCAAAAAGAAAAACAAGUCCUCAGGGAGAAGAAGCAAGUCUCCUCGCAGUAAGAGAAACCGAAGUCCUCACCACUCAACAGUCAAAGUGAAGCAGGUAAGUGGAUUGGGGUGUUUUGAUGGGUCCAAAUUGACAGCCUUUUCCUAUCACAGCUAAAGAGGGCUGUGUGUGUGUGUUGUGUGUGUGUGCACGUGUGCACGCACGCUCGCCUACAUCUCUACCUGUACCUUCAAUGGGCUUUUCUGAAAACUGGC
rnacentral:sRNA from 1 species